UACGUAGGGGGCAAGCGUUGUCCGGAUUUAUUGGGCGUAAAGAGCGUGUAGGCGGCCAAACAGGUCAGCUGUGAAAACUCGAGGCUCAACCUCGAGACGUCGGUUGAAACCGUUUGGCUAGAGUCCGGAAGAGGAGAGUGGAAUUCCCGGUGUAGCGGUGAAAUGCGCAGAUAUCGGGAAGAACACCCGUGGCGAAGGCGGCUCCCUGGGACGGUACUGACGCUGAGACGCGAAAGCGUGGGGAGCGAACAGG
rnacentral:rRNA from 1 species